rnacentral:rRNA from 1 species
CCUACGGGAGGCAGCAGUGGGGAAUCUUGGACAAUGGGGGCAACCCUGAUCCAGCCAUGCCGCGUGAGUGAUGAAGGCCUUAGGGUNGUAAAGCUCUUUCACUGGUGAUGAUAAUGACAGUACCCGGAAAAGAAACCCCGGCUAACUCCGUGCCAGCAGCCGCGGUAAUACGGAGGGGGUUAGCGUUGUUCGGAAUUACUGGGCGUAAAGGGCGCGUAGGCGGAUUGUAAAGUUGGGGGUGAAAUCCCCGGGCUCAACCCGGGAACUGCCUUUAAAACUGUCAGUCUAGAGUUCGAGAGAGGGGAGUGGAAUUCCCAGUGUAGAGGUGAAAUUCGUAGAUAUUGGGAGGAACACCAGUGGCGAAGGCGGCUCCCUGGCUCGAUUCUGACGCUGAGGUGCGAAAGUGUGGGGAGCAAACAGGAUUAGAUACCCUGGUAG